GUUAUUUGGGACAACAAUAAAGAGGUUCGGUAGAAGAAGUUUUCCCUUCCAUGAUCCGCGGUGGUGUUUCUGUGGCUCAGGCCCAUCACCUUCUUCGUUUUACCCGGUAACCCACCCGUUUUUCUAACCGGUGAGCCUUGUUGGACGGCGAUCGGAAUUCUUCGCCGCCUAUCGGCUCGGCAUCGCAGUCCUAUGGUGACGUUGGCAAUUGUCGCGGUUGGAAAUUAGAAACUGAGUGUUUUGAGAUUUGGCUUUUGUGUUGAAGAGAGAGAGAGGGAACAAAAUGAAUGAGAUUGGGAAUGGAGGAUUGAGCAACGUGGAGAUGGAGCACAUUAGACGACACCACAGGCACGAGCCUGGUGAGAAUCAGUGUGGCUCUGCGCUUGUUAAACAUAUAAGAGCACCGGUUCCUCAGGUAUGGUCCUUGGUGAGGAGGUUUGAUCAACCACAGAAGUACAAGCCAUUUGUGAGUAGGUGUGUUGUAAGGGGAAACCUUGAGAUUGGGAGUCUGAGAGAAGUCGAUGUUAAAUCAGGGCUUCCAGCCACUACUAGUACAGAAAGAUUGGAACUCCUCGAUGACAAUGAGCAUAUUCUCAGCAUCAGGAUUAUUGGUGGUGAUCAUAGACUUAGGAACUACUCCUCUAUCAUGUCUCUACACCCAGAAAUCAUUGAUGGAAGGCCAGGUACACUGGUAAUUGAAUCUUUUGUGGUGGAUAUACCUGAGGGCAACACGAAAGAUGAGACCUGCUACUUCGUGGAGGCCUUAAUAAAAUGCAAUCUCAAAUCACUUGCUGAUGUCUCAGAAGGGCUUGCUGUGCAAGAUCGCACUGAACCAAUUGAUCGGAUGUAGGAGAUUAUGUUCAGAAGUUGCUGAGAACUUGACUGCCAUGGAUGAAGCUUCAGUGGCUUUCCUAUCUCGGAAGCUUAGGAGACUGACUGGCAAAUAUGCUGUUUCCAUUAGUAUAGAGUAGCAGUGUUUUUCAUUUAUUUGCUCUAUUGAUUACCCUUGUCGUAUAUGCUGUUUACUCUCAUUAGGAGUUAAAGAACAAUAUUUUGAGACAGGUGACUAAAUCUAGUACUGUAACAGGUGAAGGACCAGGUGCUGCUUGGAGAUAGAUGAAUGACGAACAUCUGAAGUGACAGCCGUAGAAGCUCAUGUGGAACCCAAGAGGAUUGGCCGAUACGAAAAGAAAGGGAAGAGCAGAGGUAUGUAAUUCGAGGUUUAAAGUUGUGCACUCUUAAUUGCAUAUAUGAAGUGGUUGGAAACAUGAUUUAUAUGGAUCAAAUAAAAAUAUUCAUAUAUUCAUUAAUUAAUUAAAAAAUUUGAUCUUAUUACAAAUAAAUGUAUUUUUUUGUUACCAUACAUACGUUUUCGGAGGACUUUUGCUAUUGGUUCUUGUUGAGGGGUGUGGAAAUGAAAAAGGAAAAAAGAAAGAAUUUGUCUUUGUAAGAUAAAUUGGAGAAAUCAAUACAAGAUUUUACAAAUUAGAUCUACUGUAGUGUUUUGGUCUCUUGGAACUACAAAGCUACAGUUUUAUUUCAUUCAUAUUGGUUGAGCCAGUAUUUGUACUGGUGUUUUUACUGAUUCAAUAUGCUAACGUUUUUGUAUAGGACUAUUUUAAAAUUAUUUAGUUGUUUUUUAUUCGUCGAAAUUACGUGAAAUCAUUUAUUUAUUUUCAUGUAUUUACUAUUGAUAUUGUACUAAUGAU